AACGAACGCUGGCGGCGUGGAUAAGACAUGCAAGUCGAGCGAGAUUUUUUCUUGUAGCAAUACGAGGAAAAGUCUAGCGGCGAACGGGUGCUUAACACGUGGGCAACCUGCCAAGAAGUGGGGGAUAGCUCGCCGAAAGGCGAAUUAAUACCGCAUGUGAUCAGAGUGGACAUCCAUUCAAAAUUAAAGUCGGGGCAACCUGACGCUUCUUGAGGGGCCCGCGGCCUAUCAGCUAGUUGGUGAGGUAACGGCCCACCAAGGCUUCGACGGGUAGCUGGUCUGAGAGGACGACCAGCCACACUGGGACUGAGACACGGCCCAGACACCUACGGGUGGCAGCAGUCGAGAACUUUUCUCAAUGGGGGAAACCCUGAAGGAGCGACGCCGCGUGGAGGAUGAAGGUCUUCGGAUUGUAAACUCCUGUCAUUGGGGAACAAUGCGUAAAUAUUAACUGUAUUUGCGUUGAUAGUACCCGAAGAGGAAGAGACGGCUAACUCUGUGCCAGCCGCCGCCGUAA
rnacentral:rRNA from 1 species